UAAAUUACACAAAUAUUACAUAAACGUGUCCCUAAAACUUUCUUUCAUGUAAAUGACACGCUUUCGUUGAAAAUGUACUUUAUAGAAAUGGUCAGUGUCUUCAGAAAAAGUCCGUUAGCAUCUCAACUGUAAUGCUAACUACAAGAGAUUCUUCCAUGCUGAUGGCCGUGCGUGUAUCCAGCUGAAGAACAUUUUUAGACAUUAUGAAACAUAUAACUAAGACUGAAAAUCAUUGAUAAACCACAAGAGUUUAGCUCCAACCCCAGUUAAGCAGACCUGAGCAGCUGAUCAAGGAUCAGCAGAAA